CACCCGAGAGACACAACUUUUUCUAACGCUGUGUGACACCAAACUACCUGUAUGAGAGGGGUGAAACUUGCAAACUAUUUUGGGAUAAUCCAAGACAACCACAAAAAGGAUGCAUCAAAUGUUUAAAUAUGUGAAUAGUCAACUGGAUCAGACUGGACACUUGCGUCGGACAUGGACUCUCUCUUGGCACCUAGACCAGACCUGCCCUUGAUUGGACGAACUGCAGAAUGCUAAGUGGAGGUGCCCAUUAAGUCAUGUUAUGUAAUGCAAAAAUCCCUGGAGCCUCUUAUGGAUGGUGCAUUUUUCUGUGAUAGCAAGAAUUAGAUAAAUAUUACAGUUUCACAAGUAUACUAAGGUAAAUCAGUAAUUUACAAAUGGAAAGCAUCUCCAUAUAGCUAAAAAAAAAUCUUAAAUGUUCUCUCUUGCUAGACAUCUGGGUCUGAUUAUAAUGAUCUGUGGGUUGGUCAGUAGAAGGGUUGAUGCAUUUAAUAGAUGGGAGUUGGGCAAAAAAACAAACACCAGGGAUGGCCAUUGAUGGGUCUACCAUUGAUAGUCUACAUUGAUGGUGCUAUAAGUGUUUUGCAUCAAUAGCUCUAAAUAAUCAGUGGGAAACCAUUGAUGAUUUAAACUGCAUCCCUGCUCUCAGUCACAGAAGCGGCAUUGGGUAAGAGAACCAUUGGAAGAUGGAGCUAAGCACAGCAGGCUGGGGGGAAUUGGUCCAUCUCUGUCAUUGACGGUGGAGAACCUUUGAACCUCCAUCAUCAAUGGGAGAACCAUUGUAAUUCGGUGGUAAAUCAUCGCUGGAUACGAACUAUGGCCAUUAUGCACAUCGAGAUCACACCAGUCUUCUUCUUAGUCCACCAGUCUUCUUAGUCAACCACUUUUCAUCUUAAACAGUAGAAACAUUGGGUACACCAGUGACACCAAAUGCUCAACUUUCCCUGGUCAGUCAUGUGUCAGUGAUUUCAGCCUUCAUCUCCUAGCCAGUUGUUUGGCCUUUAUACUGAAUUUUAUGAGCUUUAAUAUUUUCCAUAUUAACCUUCUGAAUCCCAGCACCACGAAAUUGCUGCUUUUCUUUUGUGUAUUCCUCUGUAUAUUGUACAGUACUGUGUGUGUUACAUAAACACAACUGACCAAUGAAAUUA